CCAAAGAUCCCAAGGAGCACUGUUAAGCAAGAGGGAAAGAGAAACAGAGAAGGGAGGGAGUAACAUGUGCGCUUAAUAUGUGUGCUUAUGAGCACACUGAGGGCCACCGGGCACUGUGUCGAAGCCAUCUCAAAGGCUGAGCUUGUUGGGCAUUUAUCAGCCAGUUACCAUCAUCAUUGGUGAUUAUCUGUGCCUAUGGCUUUAACACCUCAGUACUUCAGUCCGCUCUGUGCACGGGCAGAAACUGCCCUUGAGACCAGACAAAGCACCCAGGUGUAACAGGGGCUGGCAGUAAGAGUUGUCAGUAUGCACAGGCAGAGUGAGUCCCCGGGGGACUUGGUUGGAGGCCUCACUGUAAGACCCGGGGGUUGUCCUGCUGACCUGCAGAACUUUGAUUUCAAGGCCAUACUUGGAGUGGUUGUUGGAAUAUCUUGGAAAAUGGGAUCCCAAUCAGCUGAGUAAAAUUAGGCAUCUGUUCCCAUUUUACUGGCAAUAAGAAGACCUGCCUUCAUGUUCUGACUCCAUGAUCACUUGAUGAUACUGAGCACCUUUGGCUUUAAAGCUCUCCAUCUAUCAUUAAUAAUAAUGUUAUUAUUAUUAUACAUAA